GACGAACGCUGGCGGCGUGCUUAACACAUGCAAGUCGAACGGAAAGGCCCUGCUUUUGUGGGGUGCUCGAGUGGCGAACGGGUGAGUAACACGUGAGUAACCUGCCCUUGACUUUGGGAUAACUUCAGGAAACUGGGGCUAAUACCGGAUAGGAGCUCCUGCUGCAUGGUGGGGGUUGGAAAGUUUCGGCGGUUGGGGAUGGACUCGCGGCUUAUCAGCUUGUUGGUGGGGUAGUGGCUUACCAAGGCUUUGACGGGUAGCCGGCCUGAGAGGGUGACCGGCCACAUUGGGACUGAGAUAAGGCCCAGACUCCUACGGGAGGCAGCAGUGGGGAAGAUUGCACAAUGGGCGGAAGCCUGAUGCAGCAACGCCGCGUGCGGGAUGACGGCCUUCGGGUUGUAAACCGCUUUCGCCUGUGACGAAGCGUGAGUGACGGUAAUGGGUAAAGAAGCACCGGCUAACUACGU
rnacentral:rRNA from 1 species